AGUAUAUAGAUACAAUGACAGUCAGAGAUUUUAUGCUAAAUGGGCAUGGGAUGCUUGGAUGUGUCCCUUCAAACCAAGUCCACGUUUAAAAUUUGCUGAAUAGCGACAUUGUUUGGGAAAAAUACUCUGGCAGAAAAGAGUCUAAACUGUGGAUAGACAUCAGUCUGACAUCUGUGUGUUUAUUUCCAUAAGUGAAGUUUGUAUCAACUGACUGAAGGAUCAGUGUUAAAGGAUAACACUACAAUGAAAACAGCUGUGAGUUGUUUCUUUUGAAAAUGACUGCUUGAUGAUAAAGUUUCAAACAACUAUGAAGUGAGUGGAUGUUCUAGAGAGACUAAUUCUUCAAAGAAUGAAUGAACAUCAUCAUCCUUAUAUUGGAAUAAAAGGAAGGAAGAUAUCUACAUUUUAUUUAUAGUUUGGCUUAGUCUCUGAUCAGGUCUGAUUUCAGAUCUUUAUAAAUGUUUUAUUGAAUGUUAUUUUUUGACAG
rnacentral:lncRNA from 1 species